GUCAUUCUGGGUAAUGUUUAUUGCAUAUUGCCUUUCAUGCACAGCAUUGCCAGGUGAUGAAAUCUCUCUUGGCACUCAAUGGUCCUGGCUAAACAUUAAAGAGCCCCAUCAGAUUAGCUGCGGUGGUUCAGUCUCUAGACAGAUCCUUCUGAAGACAAGUCACUUUAUAAAACCACUUACCCAAUGGUAUAUUAUUAUAUAUCAUAACAUAUAGAAGUCCUAUAGCAAAUGGAACUGAAGCCCUUCUACAAUGGGGCAGCGUUCAGACCUGAGACAUCGCGUUACAUUGUUACAGAUCAAAGCCUUUUGUUGGCAAUAAAGGAUUUUUCAUUUUAUAUUCUGGACGGUGCCGUGACUUUUUACUUAUCUACUACAAGUGUGGACAACGUGUAACAGGCACCUAAUAUCAAACGCAAACAAAGUUGACUGAGGACAAAGGAAAAAAAGAACAGAACGUACAAAAUAACAACUUUGAAACCUUUGAAUUCUGGAAUUCUUGAGCAACAGUCGGGUUAACCAGGACACGGAGCUCCUCAUCACAUGAUUCCCAAGUUCCCUUGUUCAUUUUGCCUGUAAUGGGAAGCAGUCCCCAUGUACGGAGAUACCCCCCCGCGAGGACAGAAAAUGGAAUGGGCCAGCAUCUGUUUAUCUGCACAAAGUUUAAAUUUUCCUGGAAAUGACACAAGUGCUGUUUAUGUACCGAGUCAAGGCCUCUGCAAAACAACCAAAGUACAGGGACCUCCAGUACCGUCCCAUAGAAACGCUGAUUCCCACUAAAACUGAAAUACUUUUCCAGAUUGUCUGUUUAUCAAAGAGAGAAAAACAAGGUGCAAAAUCUCACCCCUUAGGGCUCAUUCAAAGAGCACUUCUGUCCGGGGUCUGUGGGACACCAGGAAAAAAUCCAGUGGCCCCUUGUCUUCAGAUGGACCAGAUCACAGGGCAUAAUUAGGGAGGAGGGCCACGAAGCCACGCACCUUGGGGGGCAGUGCAAGCUUGGGUGCCGGGGGGAGAGCUCUUUAGUUCACAAGGGGGGCCCUUGAGGUUGGACUCCCAGUGAGCUAACAAGGGAGGGCAGGCAGUGAUCAGGUCUGGGUCAGUGGGGCCAACUGGGUUUUUCAUAACACCAUUAUCCCACCAAGCCAGUCCGACCCUGUGCACAUCUGAAUGAGGGGGGCCUAUGUGUCUUCCUCCACCUGCCCCUCAUAAAUACAGUGUUGCUAUACGCAGGCAUAUAUAUUUCUUCUGUGUAAAUUAUUAUAUGUGCAGAGCAGAGUGCAAAGUGCAAAAAACAUGGUGGAUUGUGCCCGAACUUUGGACAUGGUAAAUGACCCCUAUAAUGUCUUUAGAGUAAAGUUGGUCAUAUGCAGAUUGAUAACAGCUGCCAAAGGGUGGCCCCUCAUGACCUGGUUGGCAGCUUAUUGGCUUGUUUAUGGUAGGUAGGUAUGUACAGGUAGGGCUUACCCAAUUAUUAUCUGGGCAAACAAUUGCCCACAUACCUAUCAGUCAGGAUUAAAAAUCCCAAUGAAUAAUGGUCCUCGUUCAACAGGUCUUCUAUGGCCCAUUGUAUAAUGUGAUUGUUGGUCCCUGGGCCAUGGAUCAGAUCUGCCUGAUAUUAAACAAGCAGAUCUCAUAGUAAAAUUGGAUUGAAAAAAAGACCAAAAGUCCAUCAAGUUCAACCCUUCCAAGUGAACCCAGCACACACAACCUAUACUGACCUAUUCACAUAAACUAAACAUAUACCUGUAUGACCAGCUUUAAAAAACCUUAUGUAUUACUAUUGCAUUAGAGAACUUGGUCAAGCAAGUCACCUUUACUGGGUUUCCCUGAACCCCAAAUGUGCCAGAUUAGCAGCGAUACCUAAAUAUAUAAACACUGUAGAAGAGUUCAAUGUAAACCCCCUGCCUCUGUGUCAGUAAGCUCUACUCAACACAUAGAUCUGUAUUGGUCUGCAUUUGUAUGUAAAACAUCCAACAUAAUAACUUCCAUGUCCUUCCCCAAUACCAUUUUCAUUAAUACUAUACUAUUAUAUCUGCCUUGUAUAGGGGUAUUCCUAUGGUGUUACACUAUACACUAUGCUGUUGGCAUAUUCGGAGGGUUGUUCCCAUUUCUCCUUUGAUGU